rnacentral:tRNA from 1 species
GGCAUGGCUCAAGUGUACAGUGUCUGCCUUAGUAAGUAGAAGGCCCUGAGUUCAAACCUCAGUACUGCCA